AUAUCCAGGAAGGUAACUGGGGGAGCGCACGGUCGCUGUGGGCAGAGUGGGUUUGCCGCCCAGGAGACGGCAGUGGUGGAGUGCGCCCUGUGGGAGGGAUGCAGCAGGCGUGGCCAGUGUCGCUCGGCCACCCCAGGCCAGGCGUCCCACGGCGCACCCGGGGCUGCGCACCCGGGGCCGGGCCGCCCUGAGCCCCGCCGGGGUGCAGCAGGCAGCGAGAGUUCUCUUUUGUUUGAAAGCAGAGGUUGCCCCAGAGUCUGACGAUUCUAAAACAAAAAGGCUGUGCGCGGUCCAGUGAGGCCUCAGGCCCAAGCCCAGAGCCAAGUGAGCGUCUCCACCGCCCACCCUGGCACGGCCGAGGGCUCUUCCAGGGCCAGGCUGGGACUGGGACCCUGGAAAACCAAAACGCUGUGCCUUACCCAGCCAGAACGCACAAUCUGGGCGACCCCGCCUGGCCCCGUCUGACCCCGCCUGGCCCCUGCACGUGCCAGCUGCCAUGGUCUGCUUUCUAACUGCCUGCACCCAGCCUGUUCCGGCAUGCGCCGGGUGCACCGGGCGCCCUAGGCUGCAGGGGCAGGGCCCGCGCGCACCUCUGCACCCCUCCCUGGGUACCCGCACAGCAACCCCUUCAUGGGCAGCCCUGCGCAGGCCCACCCCUCCACAGCCCCUCCACGGCUGCUUUGUCACGGAGGUGCCUCAGGGAGCCUUUGCCAAGGUGGGAGUGAGGGGACUCAGAGACAGGCCAAGGUCCCUACGUCUGUCUACCCUCCAUCCCCCCAGCAGCCCGAACCUGGUUGUCAUUUCAACAGAAACCACUCUACCCCCAGGGCCACCUGCCUGGCCUGGAGGGCACCAGAGGGCUGCAGAGGAUGUGGCUUCUGCCCCUCACUGGGGUCCCCUGCCGAGCCUGGCCUCCCCAGGUGUGUGUGAGGCCCCGGCUGGCAGGCCUUAACCAAUAAAGGCCGGACUCAGCCCGCA